CAGCCGCCGCGGUAAUACGAAGGGUGCAAGCGUUACUCGGAAUUACUGGGCGUAAAGCGUGCGUAGGUGGUGGUUUAAGUCCGUUGUGAAAGCCCUGGGCUCAACCUGGGAAUUGCAGUGGAUACUGGCUCGCUAGAGUGUGUCAGAGGAUGGUGGAAUUCCCGGUGUAGCGGUGAAAUGCGUAGAGAUCGGGAGGAACAUCAGUGGCGAAGGCGGCCAUCCGGGACAACACUGACGCUGAGGCACGAAAGCGUGGGGAGCAAACAGGAUUAGAUACCCGCGUAGUCCCUGUCUCUUAUAC
rnacentral:rRNA from 1 species